CGGGACGAACGCUGGCGGUGUGCUUAACACAUGCAAGUCGAGCGGAAAGGCCUUUCGGGGUACUCGAGCGGCGAACGGGUGAGUAACACGUGAGUAAUCUGCCCAUCGCUUCAGGAUAGCCAUCGGAAACGGUGAUUAAUACUGGAUAAUGACAUUCCUUCGCAUGUUGGGGUGUGGAAAGUUUUUUCGGCGGUGGAUGUGCUCGCGGCCUAUCAGCUUGUUGGUGGGUAAUGG
rnacentral:rRNA from 1 species